rnacentral:rRNA from 1 species
AUUGAACGCUGGCGGCAUGCUUUACACAUGCAAGUCGAACGGCAGCACGGGGGCAACCCUGGUGGCGAGUGGCGAACGGGUGAGUAAUGCAUCGGAACGUACCCAGUCGUGGGGGAUAACGCAGCGAAAGUUGUGCUAAUACCGCAUACGACCUGAGGGUGAAAGCGGGGGACCGUAAGGCCUCGCGCGAUUGGAGCGGCCGAUGUCUGAUUAGCUAGUUGGUGGGGUAAAGGCCCACCAAGGCGACGAUCAGUAGCGGGUCUGAGAGGAUGAUCCGCCACACUGGGACUGAGACACGGCCCAGACUCCUACGGGAGGCAGCAGUGGGGAAUUUUGGACAAUGGGGGCAACCCUGAUCCAGCCAUGCCGCGUGCGGGAAGAAGGCCUCGGUUGUAACGACUUCGUACGGAAGAAUACGCAUGACGUAAUACUACUGUGUGGA